rnacentral:rRNA from 1 species
AGUGAACGCUGGCUGUAGGCCUAACACAUGCAAGUCGAACGGCAGCACAGUAAGAGCUUGCUCUUACGGGUGGCGAGUGGCGGACGGGUGAGGAAUACAUCGGAAUCUACUUUUUCGUGGGGGAUAACGUAGGGAAACUUACGCUAAUACCGCAUACGACCUACGGGUGAAAGCAGGGGAUCUUCGGACCUUGCGCGAUUGAAUGAGCCGAUGUCGGAUUAGCUAGUUGGCGGGGUAAAGGCCCACCAAGGCGACGAUCCGUAGCUGGUCUGAGAGGAUGAUAUGCCACACUGGAACUGAGACACGGUCCAGACUCCUACGGGAGGGAGCAGUGGGGAAUAUUGGACAAUGGGCGCAAGCCUGAUACAGACAUACCGCGUGGGUGAAGAAGGCCUUCGGGUUGUAAAGCCCUUUUGUUGGGAAAGAAAAGCAGCAGGUUAAUACCCCGCUGUUCUGACGGUACCCAAAGAAUAAGCACCGGCUAACUUCGUG